rnacentral:rRNA from 1 species
UACGGAGGGUGCAAACGUUGCUCGGAAUCAUUGGGCGUAAAGCGCACGUAGGCGGCGCGUUAAGUCGGGUGUGAAAGCCCUGGGCUCAACCCAGGAAGUGCAUUCGAAACUGGCGCGCUUGAAUAUGGAAGAGGGUCGCGGAAUUCCCGGUGUAGAGGUGAAAUUCGUAGAUAUCGGGAGGAACACCAGUGGCGAAGGCGGCGACCUGGGCCAAUAUUGACGCUGAGGUGCGAAAGCUAGGGGAGCAAACGGG